AUACAGAGGGUGCGAGCGUUAAUCGGAGUUACUGGGCGUAAAGGGCGCGUAGGCGGAUGAUUAAGUCAGUUGUGAAAUCCCAGGGCUUAACCUUGGAACUGCAAUUGAUACUGAUUGACUAGAGUCGAAGAGAGGGAAGCGGAAUUUCCGGUGUAGCGGUGAAAUGCGUAGAUAUCGGAAGGAACACCCGUGGCGAAGGCGGCUUCCUGGCUUCAGACUGACGCUGAGGUGCGAAAGCGUGGGGAGCGAACAGGAUUAGAUACCCUAGUAGUCC
rnacentral:rRNA from 1 species